ensembl:lncRNA
CCAUAUCAAAUAGAAUAUCAGUCUGUUUUCUGAUAGACUGCAUGCCUUCAAAACCUUUAAACUUCAAGCUUUAAAACUGCUUCAAACUGAAAAGCUUUGAACCUAAAGCUUUUAAGACUACUUAGGCUCUGUGUGUUGAUGAACUUUUUUAUCUAGUUAUAGCCUAACUGUGAUUUUAAUUUCCUGCUGCCAGUAGACCGUAAGCCUUAAGGACUAUCCCACAGGUUCAUGUGCAAUAAUUGAUUAUGGUUCAUUGAAAUAAUUAAAAAGCAAUACUGUUUAAACCCUUUCCAGUAAAGAUCUGUAAAGCUUAUUUGGAUUGUAUUACAAAAGUAUCUUCAAAUACAAAUUAUGUUUGGAUUACAAUUUUUGUUUUAUUGAGUUUAUAUGGGCAUUAUUUUUAGAAGUGUGAUUUUUUUCCUCAUCUUUUUUUGUGAUCCUUUCAGCAAACCAAAGUAAAAACGAGCCCUUUGAUCAAGUACAAGGUCCCGAUGGUCUUUCUGUUCAUUACCAAGUAUUUGUAACAGUGCUGUGUUUUGGCCUGCUGGGAAUGUUAGUAACUGUUUUAGUGGUGCAUAUGAAGACCAGGAAAAAAAACAGCACCUCCAGCAGUGAAGAAUAAAAGAGGAUCAUGGAUUCAGCCUACAAAUAUUUAAAAACCAUGAUUUUACUAUUCUUUUUGUUGUUGUUGUUAUUCAAAUAAAUAUAUAAGAACCUUUGAAACUCCAAAUUUGACAGCUGUAACAGACUGGUUUUGGCCUUUUUUGGAUAGGAGAAAAGGGAAUGAGAAUAGUGAAAGCCUAUUUAUACAUAAGAAAUACAGGCUAUAUUAAUUUUGAACUUUUAUUUUAGCAAAUUUAACAUUUUAAUUGUUGAAUUAUUUUUUAUUCAUUUGAUUUGUUUUGCAAAUAAAAAUCUUCUGGGCUACUAAAGAUUUUGUUUGUCCUUCAUGAAAAACUGCUAGAAAAUAUAACUAUUGUUCUUAUUUAGUCUGUAGUUCCAUAAAAGCAACUGGCAUGCUAUAAUAAUUCAGCUUUACUCAAGGGGAGCUGCAAAGACUCCUGCCGAGGGGCCAAAUAUGAAGGCUCCACUAUCUCUGCUUCGUGACCAACAGCCCUUUAGAGCAGCCUCCGAAGCAUACAAAGAGCUGCUCUGAGUGCCGAAACGGGCCA